rnacentral:rRNA from 1 species
UACGUAGGGGGCUAGCGUUGUCCGGAAUCAUUGGGCGUAAAGCGCGUGUAGGCGGCCCGGUAAGUCCGCUGUGAAAGUCGGGGGCUCAACCCUCGAAAGCCGGUGGAUACUGUCGGGCUAGAGUACGGAAGAGGCGAGUGGAAUUCCUGGUGCAGCGGUGAAAUGCGCAGAUAUCAGGAGGAACACCCAUUGCGAAGGCAGCUCGCUGGGACGUUACUGACGCUGAGACGCGAAAGCGUGGGGAGCAAACAGG